rnacentral:rRNA from 1 species
CCUACGGGUGGCAGCAGUGAGGAAUAUUGGUCAAUGGGCGAGAGCCUGAACCAGCCAAGUCGCGUGAGGGAAGACGGUCCUAUGGAUUGUAAACCUCUUUUGCCGGGGAGCAAAAAGCGGUACGGGUACCGCAUCGAGAGUACCCGGAGAAAAAGCAUCGGCUAACUCCGUGCCAGCAGCCGCGGUAAUACGGAGGAUGCGAGCGUUAUCCGGAUUUGUUGGGGUUAAAGGGUGCGCAGGCGGCGAGGUAAGUCAGCGGUAAAAUUUCGGGGCUCAACCCCGACAAGCCGUUGAAACUGGCGUGCUAGAGUGGGCGAGAAGUAUGCGGAAUGCGUGGUGUAGCGGUGAAAUGCAUAGAUAUCACGCAGAACUCCGAUUGCGAAGGCAGCAUACCGGCGCCCAACUGACGCUCAGGCACGAAAGCGUGGGUAUCGAACAGGAUUAGAUACCCGGGUAGUC